rnacentral:rRNA from 1 species
UUCGCAAUGCCCGAAAGGGUAACGAAGCGACGCCGCGUGGGUGAAGAAGGCCUUCGGGUUGUAAAGCCCUGUCAGGAGUUAUGAAAUGUAGGUGCGAUAAUACCGUGCCUAUUUGACAAAGGCUCCAAAGGAAGCCACGGCUAACUCUGUGCCAGCAGCCGCGGUAAUACAGAGGUGGCAAGCGUUGUUCGGAAUUAUUGGGCGUAAAGAGCACGUAGGUGGGUUUGUAAGUCAGAUGUGAAAGCCUUCUGUUCAACGGAAGAAUUGCAUCUGAAACUGCGAGUCUUGAGUGUAGGAGGGGAGAAUGGAACUUCUGGUGGAGCGGUGAAAUGCGUAGAUAUCAGAAGGAACGCCGGCGGCGAAAGCGAUUCUCUGGCCUAUUACUGACACUGAGUGUGCGAAAGCUAGGGGAGCAAACGGGAUUAGAUACCCCGGUAGUCCUAGCCGUAAUCGAUGGGCACUAAGUAGAGGGGUUUU